CCUACGGGGGGCAGCAGUGGGGAAUAUUGCGCAAUGGGCGAAAGCCUGACGCAGCGACGCCGCGUGAGGGAUGAAGGUCUUCGGAUCGUAAACCUCUGUCAGCAGGGAAGAACGGUCACUGUGCUAAUCAGCAGUGAAUUGACGGUACCUGCAAAGGAAGCACCGGCUAACUCCGUGCCAGCAGCAGCGGUAAUACGGAGGGUGCGAGCGUUAAUCGGAAUUACUGGGCGUAAAGCGCUCGUAGGCGGUAUGUCAAGUCAAGGGUGAAAGCCCCGCGCUCAACGUGGGAACUGCCUUUGAAACUGGCAAACUGGAGUGUGUGAGAGGAUAGUGGAAUUCCAGGUGUAGGAGUGAAAUCCGUAGAUAUCUGGAGGAACAUCAGUGGCGAAGGCGACUAUCUGGCACAUAACUGACGCUGAGGAGCGAAAGCGUGGGUAGCAAACAGGAUUAGAUACCCCAGUAGUC
rnacentral:rRNA from 1 species